CCUACCCCUAGUGGCAUUGUAGGUAUGGCUGGUGUGCAUCAGUAGGUGGCAGAGAAGAGAGGCUAUGCCUGUGCUUAGUGUUCUGAUCCAUGAACAUCUGAAUGACUAGUAUCCUAAUAGU
rnacentral:snoRNA from 1 species